AGAUCUGUAGAGGAGAAUGAAGGCUGGGACUUGUGCACGUCUGAAGCUGCUGUCUCCAAGUGGCCUCUGGGUCCACAGAGCCAGAACAGCACAUUCAUGAAGACAAAAUGCCAUGUUGUCUGAAGCUUUGCACCACAGGCACUCUGCAAAAAUAUCUUCUUAGGG
rnacentral:lncRNA from 12 species